UGUAUAACCAAGACAUGUAUACGUGUUUGAGGCAAAUGAUACAUACAACAGUUUUGGAGAAGCUCAAGAUUCUUUUUUUAACCCCUUAAGGACUGGACUGUUUUUGCGAUGUUGUACAUUUGCGACCAGGCAUAUUUUUACACUUUUGUGGUGUUUGUGUUUGGCUGUAAUUUUCCGCUUUCUCAUUUACUGUUCCCAUACAAAUUAUAUAUUGUUUUUUCAGGACAAAAGGGGCUUUCUUUACAUACCAUUAUUUAU